AUUGAACGCUGGCGGCACGCCUAACACAUGCAAGUCGAGCGGCAGCAUGCUUAGUAGCAAUACUAAGUGAUGGCGAGCGGCGGACGGGUGAGGAACACGUAGGAACCUGCCCAAGAGAGGGGGAUAACUAAGGGAAACUUUAGCUAAUACCGCAUAAUCUCUGAGGAGAAAAGCUGCCCGCAAGGGUAGCGCUUUUGGAGGGGCCUGCGUCCGAUUAGCUAGUUGGUGAGGUAAUGGCUCACCAAGGCGAUGAUCGGUAACUGGUCUGAGAGGACAACCAGUCACACUGAGACGGGGACACGGCCCAGACUCCUACGGGAGGCAGCAGUGGGGAAUCUUGGACAAUGGGGGCAACCCUGAUCCAGCGAUGCCGCGUGGGUGAAGAAGGCCUUCGGGUUGUAAAGCCCUUUAGGCUGGGAAGAAGUGUGCGGGGUGAAUAAUCCUGUACAUUGAUGGUACCAGCAGAAUAAGCACCGGCAAACUCUGUGCCAGCAGCCGCCGUAA
rnacentral:rRNA from 1 species